rnacentral:lncRNA from 1 species
CCAAAUCCAUACAAUCACAUAACACAUAUUAUAUAUACAUACUAAUUUAGAAGGGCCACUUAAACAGUACCUGCUUCUUAUUGGUGGAAAUUAUUAUUAUUAUUAUUUUAUAUUUAAUAUACGUGUUCUUCGUUGCUCCCACCUCUAGCUGCUACCAGUUAGAUACUGACAACAAAAACUCCAUCACCGCUCAACUGACCGCGUCUUCUACUUCUCAUUUAUUCCAGCUGUUGAUUCCAUCCAACCCUAUUGUUCCCUGCUCCACUGAUCGAUUUUUUCACAUCUUCAGUUCCUCGGGUCAAUCCUCCCCUGCUCGCCUUCCCCACUUUGGUUUAAUCCCCCACAGGGGUUCCGCCUCAAGCAACUGUACACCACCGUCUCCACCCUUCUACUUUGUCGCCUCCAAGACAGAAACGAAAUAACAAAGCAAUCAGCAAGCGUCAGUAGCAGCGGUGGUGUUAUUUGGAGUUAGAAAUGGAAGAGUUAUUGCCUGACCUGUGGUCUAUCCCAUCAGUCGAAGGCGUAGACUGUCGUCUCCUCAGGAAGUAGUGAAGCAGAGGACAGGGGCCUAGCUGGCCUGUAACACCGGUGGCCAUAUUUGUAAGUUAGAAUUGUCAUUGUGCUUUGAUGGAUUUUAGAGCCCUAGGAUCGAAUGCUAAGGUAAUUAUUCAUCUCUUUCAACUUCGAUUGCAUCGUCAUCAACAGGCUUAAAGGGCUUGGAAUUAACGCAAAUCAAAUUGGGAGAGAGACGCGACCCCAAUUUGCUGUACACCUCAAAACCCCAUUUUUAACUUCAUUCAAGAGACUGAUUUGUUUAUUUGUUUGGUGUUUCUUUGAAAAUUUCUUGAUCUAAGUUUGGGUGAUGGAAGAAACUUAGACAAAACGAAGCCCUUUCUAUUCUUCCCUCUCCCUCCUGUUGUUGCUGAUUGACGAAUUCUAGCAUUAAAUUAAGCACCGACAAACUAAAUUAAGCGAUGUCGGAGGAAGGCUUCUUUCCUUUCUUGACUAACGAGUCCGACCUGGUCACCUGGUAAGCAUCACAUCACAUCUUAUUCCUUUAAUGCUCUCAAGUAUUGAGUGUUUGCUUCUGGUUCCCUACUGCAUAUAUAUUUGACUUUGUUUCUAACUUUAUGAUUGCUAUUUGCUGGUGAUAUCUACAAUGUAGACUUUGCGACUGUGAAUUUGUGAUUGCUGGUGUUAUAUUACCACCUUGGAUUCAAAACAACAAAGUUAGUAUUUCAUAUGAUUCACUUGGUACUACUUAUCAAAUGUAAAACUAGAAAGGUACAUAAGAUGCAAUAUUAGAAAUCAUAUUUGGGUUUUAAACAAUUUUAGAGGUACAUAAGAUGCAAUAUUAGAAAUCACAUUGAACACAUUAAAACCCUAUCAAGCACUAAAGAGUCACCAUACUUCAUUUAUACAUUUUAGAUAGAAAGGAGUCAAAAGACCACCAUCACCUAACAAAUUAUGACAUUUCUGAUCAAAAAUAGUCUGUCAUUUUAAAAUUUUGUGGUUACAAAAAGACAUGAGGGAAUAGAAUAUGUGGUUUUUACUCUUUAUUUAGGAUUUAAUAAUAAUAAUAAGGGAGUGAUUAUUACCUAUAUAUAAGAGAUUAAUCAUAUCAUCAUGGAGGAGCAAAUUACAUUCAUAUAAUUAUAACAGAAAACACAACAUGAUACAAAAAUAGAUAAUACAAAAUUAGGGAUUCAUAAUCUAACAAAGUGAACCAAAUUAGAAAACAUACAGUACCAGAAUUUAUAUAAUAGUCACUUAGUCAACUGACCUGAUUGGUGCAAUCCUAGAUCAUAAAAAACAAAAUUCUGAGAAUGAUUCUUUGUUAAUUUCUUAGUGUAGUUUCACAAAAUCCAUUGUGAUAUCUUUUGUCUUCAGGUUCUUAUGUGCCUUUAUUUGGUUAGCUAUUACUUUAAGUUUUCCUUAAUGUGAAUAUAUUCUUAAAUUACUAUUUUUAUUCAAUUUUAAACGAUUCCAUUCCGGGCUUAUGGUUAUUUUUCAAUUUUUUUGGGUUAUUUUCUUUAAUAUUAACUUACAUUAUGGUUCGUUUAGUUAUUUUCCCAUCUUCGUAACAUAAGACCUAAACUAGAGACGUUUAGCAGUUGCCUUUUAUUUUAUCAGAUAUGGAUCCGGAAUCUUUUGAUAAUUUAUACAAUUUAUACUAGAUAUGCCUUUCUUGUGAUACCACAUUAACACCCCUUUGAUUAUCUUCAGGAUAUUCUGCCUUUGAAACUAUAGAAGAUAUGAUUCCUGGAGAAACGGUAAAACCAGAAAGAAAACAACCAAAUGUGAAUCAUGAUUGGGUGCUAAACUUCAAACAGGUAGUCAUUUUUUCAUAUAUAGUGCCUUCUUAGUAGUGCAUUUGGCAUCACUGAAUAUGGUUAUUCUACCAAUCACAUCAUUGAGAUAUUCUUUACAAAUUAUCCAAUAAUAGCAAUGACAUCCAAAAAAAAACAACUUUUUACUGUUAUUGUGACCCUGUUGAAAAAAUACUUUUUUUUAUCAUCCAAAAUAGCUAGCUGUUAACGUAAAUUUCACAGGUUGUUGCAGUGAAAACCUGUGAAAUGGACACCGAUUACAAUCAUCUUCAUUGUUCCAUUUGUUCUUUUAUGGAGCAGCUUUAAACAAUAAGAAUCUGUAAAUUACUUCCCUUAGAUGACAAAAACAGUAAGCUUGGAUGGGGCGCAACCAUUAGAGAAGGAUUUGUUUGUACAUUAUCAGCAUGAAUAUAUCUCCAGAAAAUAAAAAAUAUUGAGGAUUUUUUCUGCAGAAUAUUGUCGUGUAUUUUUGUGUAUAUGUUUUGUUUAAUGUCUCAGGGGAGUAAAUUAAUUAGUUAUGUUGUUUUGUUAGUUAAAACAUGGACUCGAGUCAGAUGGAUGAAUCGUGUAGCAAACACACAAAUUUAAUAUAAUGGAAGUGAUUGUAAAUUUGUAACUUGAACAAGGUCAUUUUUUUGUCAUUUUGUUGUCUGCUAAUGCUCUUUUUUAUUAAAUUCAGGUCUUGUAGAUGCUUCUAGGGUAUUUCUAGGUAAAUGUUUAUUGUGAUAGAGAUUUUGAAACCAGAACAAGGGUAUUUUUUUAAUUUUCUUUGUAUGGAUUAUCCGAGUAGAAUGAGUUUGUUUGGUCUUUAGAUCUUUUAUCAACCUUGAAAUUCUGUAAAAUUCCUUUUUUGCCCAUUUGUGAAGCAAAUUAAUGUCUUUGUAAAACUUAAAUUCACAUUUUGACCCUAGACAGGUUUUUAUAACGGAUCCAACCCCGCAAAGCGGGGCUCUUCCCUAGUUU